GGGAAGUUUCACAUGAAGAGCAAUCAAGUCGUUUAGCCCUCAGCCUGAUGACCACCCUACUGACUGCUGCCCGUAGAUUAUAUUGCCACCAUGGAAGAGGAGGAGCUGGAAGGAGAUUCUGAAGCCUUGGGACAAAGCUGGUGCUGCGGCAGUCAGAGCAGAGAGACAGAAUGAUGCCACUGAUUGCUGUGCUUUUGGAGACUGUUCUACUUCUGAAUUUCCAAUUCAGUGAAAUAAUGCCUGUCCUCAUUUAUUAGCCUUUUAGAGUUGGGUUUUCUGGUUUGCUUUGUUUAAAGUAUUCAAAAUGGCACAUACUUCUACUUAGCUUUAAUGUUUCUUCUUUUUAUUUAUCUUAGGCUCUGCUGCUGUCCUGUCCAUAAGGUUAUUUGUUGGUAAAAUAUUAAACUACAGGAAACAUAACAGCCUCAGAAAAGCAUGACUCAACAUGAGCCUGGGACAACUCAGGGUCUCUCUACUGUGCACAGCAUUUGUUCUGCUUUCAAGGCUCCCCACAGCAUCUGAAGCUUUACAUCCCUGGAGGCAACUGCCCAUAUGUUUACCUUUAUUACCAACUGCAGUUUCCAGGCAUCUGCUAAAUUACAAUUUUGAGUGCUUAAUGGUGAUUUCAUUUGUGUAAAAAAAAAGCGGGGAGACUCUUUGCCCCUCAUUAACUUAGAAUGGCAUUGCACCACACCGUAGAGCUGGCAUAUAGGUAUAUUGAAAGAAGUGGGUAGAGCUAAGAGGAUUAGAAGCUUAUGUGUGCCGUGAGGAGAAGCUGAGACUCAGGUUAGCAUCUCACUGUAUUUCUGUGAGGAGGAGAUAUUGGUGCAAGAUCUCAAGCAGACAAGCAAAAUCCAUCCCUAUCCAACAACUCCUACCUAUUGAGCAAAUGAUUUAAAAAGUGGUUACUGUGCCAUCAGAAAAACUGUUGGGGAUUGAUGUGUCUCUUUUUGUUGAACUGGCUGAGUAGAUAAGUACACAGAAUAACUUAUACCAUCACUUUAUAUUUACGCUUACCUAAUAUGAUAUUGUUA
rnacentral:lncRNA from 1 species